rnacentral:rRNA from 1 species
UAAGACAGAGGUGCCAAGCGUUAGGCGGAAUCACUGGGCUUAAAGCGUGUGUAGGCGGAUCGUUAAGUACCUUGUGAAAUCCCACGGCUCAACCGUGGAACUGCUGGGUAUACUGGCGAUCUUGAGCCACCUAGGGGCGAGCGGAACAAGCGGUGGAGCGGUGAAAUGCGUAGAUAUCGCUUGGAACGCCAACGGUGAAAACAGCUCGCUGGGGGUGUGCUGA